rnacentral:rRNA from 2 species
UGGCUUAAUUUGACUCAACGCGGGGAAUCUUACCGGGUCCGGACACACUGAGGAUCGACAGACAGUUGUCUUUCCCUCCCUUCGGGGUGGGAUUACAAAAGAUAACAGAUCUUUCAUGAUCAUGUGAUGGGUGGUGCAUGGCCGUUCUUAGUUCGUGGAGUGAUCUGUCUGCUUAAUUGCGUUUCAAAUUUUAUAUUUGUUAACAUGCGAGUCUUCAAUGACGGCCGCUCCACCUUAUAGACAUUAUAUGAUAUGCACAUUUGUGUAUUUGAUUAUAACUUGUCUGGAGUCUGGCUCGAUUUUUUUGACUCAAUUGAACGCAACGGACGUGAUUGCAAGUCCUUGUUGAACAAAUUAUAUAUAUACUACUUCAUCAUUAGUAUAUAUAGUUCGCUUCUCAUGUCGUAGCAGUCAAACGGGCGGGCGUCUUAAUUGGCGCGGUCACGAGGCUUAAUAUGCUGCGGCAGGGAAAACUUGGGCGACCGCUGUAAUACUUCUCUCUUAAACCAGAGGAAGAUUGCGGCAAUAACAGG